rnacentral:tRNA from 1 species
GGUUCCAUAGCACAGUUAGCGCGUCUGCUUUACACGCAGAAGGUCCUGGGUUCGCACCCCAGUGGAGCUA